rnacentral:lncRNA from 1 species
CCAUUCUUUGCUAAACCAUAUGCUUCCAUAUUACACUCCCUAAACACAUAGACAAAUCUACAAUUCAAAUUCUCACAGCAAUCCAACCAUUCAACUAUACAAAUAACGAAAUCUCCAUGGGUACUCAGUUUUCUCCAAUAUCCAAUGAAUAAUAUUCAAUGAAUCUCCUUCUAUUAUAAUUGGUUUCUCAAAUCUGCUAAUCAAUUUAACACCAGCCAAGACAGCAAUUAAUUCAACUUCAUUAGAAGUAGCAACACCAAUUGGACCAAAGAAUUCAAGUAAAACAAUAUCGUUAUCAUCUCUUACUAUACCACCAAUCCCUACUAGACCAGGAUUACUAAGUGAACUUCCAUUAAAGUUCAACUUAAUCGACCAUUCUUCAGGUUUAGACCAUAAACCCAUCAUGAUUUUCAUAUUUGU